rnacentral:rRNA from 1 species
UACGUAGGGGGCGAGCGUUGUCCGGAUUUAUUGGGCGUAAAGAGCUCGUAGGCGGUUUGGUAAGUCGGGUGUGAAAUCUCCACGCUCAACGUGGAGGGGCCACUCGAUACUGCCAUGACUCGAGUCCGGUAGAGGAGUGUGGAAUUCCCGGUGUAGCAGUGAAAUGCGUAGAUAUCGUGAGGAAGACCAGUGGCGAAGGCGGAUCUCUGGACAGCUCCUGACGCUGAGGCGCGAAGGCUAGGGGAGCAAACGGG